rnacentral:rRNA from 1 species
CGAAUUGUCUCUCUGCAUGGUAUUCCACAAGUGAUCUCUUCAGACCGUGGUAGCAUCUUUACCUCCAAGUUUUGGGAUUCUUUUCAGAAGGCCAUGGGCACCAACAUCCGCUUCAGCACAGCUUUCCAUCCUCAAUCUAGCGGUCAAGUCGAGCGUGUCAACCAAAUUCUUGAAGAUAUGCUCAGGGCUUGUGUGAUCUCCUUCGGCAUGAAGUGCGAGGAUUGUCUUCCUUAUGCUGAAUUCUCCUACAACAACAGUUUUCAAGCAAGUUCGGGCAAGGCCCCAUUCGAAAUUCUGUAUGGCAGGAAGUGCCGUACC